rnacentral:rRNA from 1 species
GAUGAACGCUAGCGGCAGGCUUAACACAUGCAAGUCGAGGGGUAUAGUUCUUCGGAACUAGAGACCGGCGCACGGGUGCGUAACGCGUAUGCAAUCUACCUUUUGCAGAGGGAUAGCCCAGAGAAAUUUGGAUUAAUACCUCAUGGUAUGUGAGAAUGGCAUCAUUUUCACAUUAAAGUCACAACGGCAAAAGAUGAGCAUGCGUCCCAUUAGCUUGUUGGUAAGGUAACGGCUUACCAAGGCAACGAUGGGUAGGGAUCCUGAGAGGGAGAUCCCCCACACUGGUACUGAGACACGGACCAGACUCCUACGGGAGGCAGCAGUGAGGAAUAUUGGACAAUGGGCGCAAGCCUGAUCCAGCCAUGCCGCGUGCAGGAUGACGGUCCUAUGGAUUGUAAACUGCUUUUGUACAGGAAGAAACACUGGUUCGUGAACCAGCUUGACGGUACUGUAAGAAUAAGGAUCGGCUAACUCCGUGCCAGCAGCCGCCGUAAUAC